GUGACUGACAAACAAAAUGGUGGAGAAGGGGAAGUGAGGAGGAAGGCGGGCUGUACAGCCAGCCGUCCUCAGCAGACAACCCCUUGGGUUCUGCCUUCUCUUCUGGCACACUUCCUUGCUCCUCAGGGUCUUCAAGAGGCUUUUGGCCUGUGCUGCAGACCAAGGGGUUCCCCUCUCUCUUCUGGAUGGUUUCCCUGUGGCUUCCUGAAGUGCUUCCCUUGCUCCCGACCCCUUUGGGCACCCCUUCUGAUUCUCCCCACUGAGGCACCAUUCCACUUUCUUCCAGCCACACCCAUCUCCUGCAGCCUCUCCUUCGUAUUUGUGAUCCC
rnacentral:lncRNA from 1 species